UACAGAGGUCCCAAGCGUUGUUCGGAUUCACUGGGCUUCAAGGGUGCGUAGGCGGUUUGAUAAGUCUGAUGUGAAAUCCCGCAGCUUAACUGCUGAACUGCAUUGGAAACUAUUUGACUAGAGGAAUGGAGGGGAGACUGGAAUACUUGGUGUAGCAGUGAAAUGCGUAGAUAUCAAGUGGAACACCAGUGGCGAAGGCGAGUCUCUGGACAUUUCCUGACGCUGAGGCACGAAAGCCAGGGGAGCAAACGGU
rnacentral:rRNA from 1 species